rnacentral:rRNA from 1 species
UACAGAGGGUGCGAGCGUUAAUCGGAAUUACUGGGCGUAAAGCGUGCGUAGACGGUUAUUUAAGUCGGGUGUGAAAGCCCCGGGCUCAACCUGGGAACUGCAUUCGAUACUGGACGGCUAGAGUAUGAAAGAGGGAGGUAGAAUUCCACGUGUAGCGGUGAAAUGCGUAGAUAUGUGGAGGAAUACCGGUGGCGAAGGCGGCCUCCUGGUUCAAUACUGACGCUGAGGUGCGAAAGCGUGGGGAGCAAACAGG